AUACAACCCCCUGAUUGGAGGAGCCUCAGUCUCCCUCCAGUCACAGAACUGCCCGGGCCUGGCUGCUGGGGAUAAUUUGCACCUUCACUUAAGAUGAACCUGCUACUGAUUUUCCUGUUCAUGCUGGAGGCCCCUUCAGGUGUCCUCUCCCAAGUGCAGCUGAAGGAAACGGGUCCAGGAGCGGUGAAACCCGGGGAGUCCCUGACACUCACUUGUACCAUCUCCGGAGACUCGGUUUCUAGCACCAGAGCCACCUGGGACUGGUUCCGGCAGCCCGCGGGAAAGCGGCCAGAAUGGAUGGGGUGCACAUGGUAUAGGUCUGGCAGGUGGUACACUGAGUACCCCAGCUCUCUGCAGAGUCGAAUGACCAUCACACAAGACACUUCCAAGAACCAGUUCUCCCUGCAGCUCCGCUCGCUGACAGCUGCAGACACCGCCACCUAUUACUGCUCGGGGAGAGACACACAGUGACACAGAGCAAAGCAGGGACCGAUAGAAAAAGGGGAAGCGGUUUUUCCACAGUGCAGUGAUGUUCUGGCUACCGUGACAUUGGUAACACCGUGGGGAUUCUAGACCUCAUUCUCCAUGGCCUUUACCCAGGUGUAGUCAUUUUCAAUUUGCAAUGGAAGGGGAACGCAUUAGUGACUCUAGCAAUCAGUCAGUGACUCUGUUCCCAUUGAGUUCUUUGAGGGAUGUGGGCAUCUGAAUUAGGAAAAAAUUCUCCUCUUAAAAGAAUAUUAUAAGGAACUUAACUGUGUUCAAAGUACACAUGCACACAAACUACCUGUAUUCCUUUGAGGUGAUUUAAAUCUAUGUCUGCCUCCUCCAAAAGAAAAAGUCAAAAAGCCACAGUAAACAUAUGUAUUCAAUAUAUCUAGGACCUCCUGUAAAAUGUAUCACCCUCUAUGUGCCGCUGAUUUUUC